rnacentral:misc_RNA from 1 species
CCUUGUUAAGUGGCUAUUAAUCGCCGACGCCUCAUUUUUUUUUCUCUCUUGGUAAAGUGCUGGUGGCGAUCCGCGAAUUGUCGCACUCGUGCACGUGCAACACUGAGCAGCCUGUAGGUGCCAUAAUUCUAGUCGAGCUGCGAGACAAUGGUUGGGCUUUCGAAGGUAGAGGUCAUUAUCGGUAAGCUGCUGCUGAACCCGGCCCACAACACGGCCGCACCGAAACGAGAUGCAAAUAGCCCUCUCUCGUCUUUUGCAAGGCAGUCGCGGCUGAAGGCCUUCCAGGCAGAGACGGCAGCUGCGGCUGCGGCUGGGGCACCCAAGGCAGAUUCGGCCAAUCGCACCGGCCACACUCGAGGCCGCAGCAGUAGCAGCAUCUCCGACCCGCGGGAGUUCGCGACGGGGGAGAUGACGGAGGAAGAGGUGGUGUACCUCGUGAUGGAGUCGCGAAAGUUAUUCAUGUCACAGCCGAUGCUGAUUGAGAUAGAGGCCCCGGUGAACGUGUGCGGUGAUGUGCACGGACAAUAUCACGACCUGCUGCGCCUCUUCGAACUUGGCGGCUACCCGCCAGAUAGUAACUACAUCUUCCUCGGCGACUACGUUGACCGUGGCGAGCAGUCGCUAGAAACCGUUUGUCUGCUGCUCGCCUACAAGCUGAACUUCCCCAACAACUUUUUCCUUCUCCGUGGCAACCAUGAGAGCAGCAGCAUCAAUCGCAUCUACGGCUUCUUCGACGAGUGCAAGCGCCGCUACAGCGUAAAGCUCUGGAAACUCUUUACUGACACCUUCAACUGCAUGCCGGUGGCCGGUCUCAUCGACGGACGCAUUCUGUGCAUGCACGGCGGCCUUAGUCCGGAGCUGCACAGCCUAGAUCAAAUCCGUCGCAUUCUGCGGCCAUCUGACGUGCCGGAUAGCGGUCUCAUCUGCGACCUGCUCUGGUCGGACCCCGCCGAUGACCCGAUCAUCGGCUUUGGCGAGAACGACCGCGGCGUUUCAUGGACCUUUGGCGAGAACGUGGUGGAGAACAUCACUCAGGCGCUGGACCUGGACCUGAUCUGCCGUGCGCACCAGGUCGCCGAAGAGGGCUACAAGUUCUUCGCGAAGCGAAAACUCCUGACCGUUUUCUCGGCUCCCAACUACUGUGGCGAGUUCAACAACUACGGGGCCUUCCUGUGCGUCGAUGAAAACCUCAUGUGCAGCGUAAAGCAGCUCGUGCCGCUCUUCGAGGUGGACGACUUCGAGUGAGAAGGGAGAAGACUGGAUGCAGGUGUGUGGAGGGGGUGAUCGAGUUGUGCUUUUUUUUUCGCAGUUUCUUGCGGUAGGCUAUGCCUCUUCUCUUUCUGUGGUUAGUGAAGCUGAGGCUCUUGCUGGUGCACGUGGUCGUCGAUCCCUUGCCCUCGUGCUGAUUUUCCCCAUGAUAUGGGUGUCUUGCUGCCAUGCACAGGCGCGGAUGCGCAGUUUCCUUUGGAGCGGCACCCCCUGCCCAUACCGUACGUCCCCUCGAUGCGACCACGCCGCGGCAGAUGCGCACGUGUCUCUCCCCGUUGGCGUGCCCGUUGUGCAGGUCCUGCGUCGCACUGCUCCUUUUCUUGCUUUGUUCUCGCUUGGGCUCUGUACCAUCCCCUCUCUUUCUCCGUGUAUGCGUGUGCGUGCGUGCCGCUUGCGUGGUGGCCUUUCCUCCUGUGCUGCACAUCGUGCACGUGCCUGUAGGUGGGCGUGUUUCUUGUUUUCUCUCUCUUUUUGAUGUGUGCGCGGCUCGAACGUGCCCUCGCCCUCACUGCCUCGUCUCUGUUCUUGUCAUCGAGAGUACUGCGACACUCAGUCGCCCUGCGACCGCUCCGGUGGGCUUCUCUUUUUUUUGGAAGGGGCUAUGAAGGACAUUUCUGGCACGUGAUGGGAUGUGCGCUCUCUGCUUUAACGCCGCAUUUGCCAGUGGGGCCACGACAAGCACAUGUUUGUCGCCGUUGGCGCAGCAUUUAGCAGACGUCGCCCUCCCCCUCCCCCUCCACCUUCCCCUUCCGGUGACGUGCUGCACACCUUCUCCCAGCACAACCUCCAAUAUGCACACUCAGAGACAGUGGCCGACAUCCCAAGUCUUUCCCUUUCGGUUGAACGGUGUACGUCACGAAUUUGAAUGCUGUAAGCUUGCUCCUUGUCUUUGCUGUGCUGCUGCUGCUCUCUCUCUCUCUGGCGGGGAGAAAAGAGAGCGGAGGAGGCACGUUGGAUUAUCACAAGCGCGCUUCACUCUUCUCUCUCUUUGUAUGCAUGCUUGUUUUCUCCUCGUCGCUGCUCCAUGGGCGUUUACAGUUGUUGCUGUCGUGUGUGCGUUUUAUGUGACCGACUGGCCAUGUUGUUGUAGUUGUAGUGCGCGUUGUGUCAUGUUGUAUGUCUGGAAAGCGAAGGUUCGUGCUGGCUUCUCUGCUGUCUGUGUGACCUUUAACGGGAGUUUCUGCUCUGACGCGCGCGAGAUACUUUUCCGUGGGCUGCACCUCUUUUUUUGGGGGGGGGGCGCGGCAGUCUGUGCUGGGGCUCGUCGCACGUUUUUUGUUUCUGGUGUUCACGCUUUCGUAGCGUUGUGUCAUCGUUGCUGGUCUUCCACCACAAACUCUGAAACUUAUUUUCGCCUUUACAGGAAAGCAGAGUGUUGUCGGCACCCUAUUCGUGUGCACGCAUGAAGGCUCGAGGAUCUUGCUGCCUUGCUGUUGAUGCAGUGGCUUGAUCUCCGCUGCGUGGAGUAUCUGUGAACGUAUCCGCUCUCUGGGUCUGGAUAUGCGUCUGCUCCUCUCGUGCAUAACACUUCGACUCCCUCACUGUCUCCGUCUUUUUCGAGCUGUGCUGACUCCUCGGAUUGUCUCUCUCAUCUCAUCUUUCAUCACCGGUUUAG